AGAAUCAACGCUGGCGGCGUGCCUAACACAUGCAAGUCGCACGAGAAAGGGUAGCAAUACCUGAGUACAGUGGCGCACGGGUGAGUAACACGUGAAUCAUCUACCUUCGAGUGGGGAAUAACUGAGAGAAAUCUUAGCUAAUACCGCAUAACACUUACGAGUCAAAGCAGCAAUGCGCUUGAAGAGGAGUUCGCGGCAGAUUGGUUAGUUGGCAGGGUAAUGGCCUACCAAGACGAUGAUCUGUA
rnacentral:rRNA from 1 species